rnacentral:rRNA from 1 species
UACGUAGGGGGCUAGCGUUGUCCGGAAUCAUUGGGCGUAAAGCGCGUGUAGGCGGUCCGGUAAGUCCGCUGUGAAAGUCGGGGGCUCAACCCUCGGAUGCCGGUGGAUACUGUCGGGCUUGAGUACGGAAGAGGCGAGUGGAAUUCCUGGUGUAGCGGUGAAAUGCGCAGAUAUCAGGAGGAACACCCGUAGCGAAGGCGGCACUCUGGGCCGAUACUGACACUGAGGAGCGAAAGCGUGGGGAGCGAACGGG